UACGUAGGGUGCAAGCGUUAAUCGGAAUUACUGGGCGUAAAGCGUGCGCAGGCGGUUUUGUAAGUCUGACGUGAAAGCCCCGGGCUUAACCUGGGAAUUGCGUUGGAGACUGCAAGGCUUGAAUCUGGCAGAGGGGGGUAGAAUUCCACGUGUAGCAGGUGAAAAUGCGUAGAGAUGUGGAGGAACACCGAUGGCGAAGGCAGCCCCCUGGGUCAAGAUUGACGCUCGAUGCACGAAAGCGUGGGGAGCAAACAGG
rnacentral:rRNA from 1 species